GCAGUGGUGGUUCAGUGGUAGGAUUCUCGCCUUCCAUGCGAGAGACCCGGGUUCAAUUUCUGGUCAAUGUA
rnacentral:tRNA from 1 species